UAUGCCCUUUAGAUAAAUAACCUAAAUUAAGGUAAAUUAUUGAGACAAAAAACAGAGUUUAUGUCUCAAAAGGAGGGAUAUGAACUAGGAGAAAAGUAAAGACUUAACUAAUGAAAAUCUCUCAGUUUUAUUCUAACAGGGGCCUGAACAACAACACUGGCACUGCAGGAGACUGGAUCAGCUACCAAUAAAGAGACUGGUGCAGAUCAAGGUGUUCAAGCUCAUCCUAAGAACUCCUGAACAGACUGAGAGCUCCAUAAACUCAUAUAAAAAAGGCUCCUGGUGCUCAAGAAGGAGGAGGCCAACCAUCUCACAGACAGGUGACCUGAGAGUUCUUGACCCUUGACCUCUGUGUAAAGUCUGAGACCAGGAGGAGAGUCAUCAACAGGAGAUCUCUUCGACAUGGGGAGCGUUAGGCCUUAUGCACGCUCAGUCAUAGGUUUCAGUGAAGAAAGAGCACAUUAGAGGGUCAAAGGUCAAAGAACUCCCAGGCAGAAAGCAGUUGAUUUAAAGAUUUUAAUUACAGUUGUGCUAUAUUCAGUAGUAUGACUCAACUACUAUUAUAAGGCCACCUCUACAGGGGCCACAACUUUGUGGUUCCAAGAGUAUAAUUUGUUUAAUGUUUCCUCCAACACUAACUAUUGUUCUCUUAUAAAUUCCCAUGAGGCCUCAGGGGGACACGCCCUGAUUUCAGUUUAGAUGACCAAAAGAUGACAAACCUGCAAUGAGCUGCAUGUAAGGUCAACAAGCAAUGGUGUUGCCAUAAGAAAAUAUAGAAAGCAGGACCAACAUAGAGCAAGAAGUCAGCGCUCUCAGGAGGCUGACAAACCUCACAGAAGGAAGGGAGGAAAAAAAUACACCUGUGAUCAGUGUGGGAAGGAUUUUACCUUAAAAGCUAAUCUAAAAAGACAUCAAGUGAUCCACACUGGAGAGAAGCCGUUCAGCUGUGAUCAGUGUGGGAAGGAUUUUACCCAGGCUGGACACUUAAAAACACACCAACUCAUCCACAGUGGAGAGAGAGCGUUCAGCUGUGACUUGUGUGGAAAGUCUUUUGCCCGGGCUGGACACUUAAAAACACACCAACUCAUCCACAGUGGAGAGAAGCCAUACAGCUGUGAUCAGUGUGGCAGAGCUUUUAAUGACAGUAGCAGCUUAAAGAAGCAUCAAGUUACCCACUCUGGAAUUAAGGCAUACAGCUGUGACUAUUGUGGAAAAAUUUUCAGUCGGCUAUGGUACAGAAAUAGACACCUACGCAUUCACACUGGACAUGAUGUGUACUGCUGUGAUCAGUGUGGGAAACUGUUUGGAACAGACUCACAGUUACAAUCCCACAUGUUUACCCACACUGAGGAGAGACCUCAUAAAUGUGACCUGUGCGAUAAGACUUUUAAAGCUCCACAGCACCUGAGAGCACACCAACAGAUCCACAGCAGAAAGAGACUCUACAAGUGCAGUUACUGUGAGAAGCAGAGCCACACAGAUGGAUCCAGUUCUCAGCCCUGUCAUCGCUGUGGUGGUGGGAAAGCGUUUCGCUGUGACCUUUGUGGGAAAACUUUCAGUCAUCAACAGAGCCUAAAAAGACAUCAGCGUAGACACACUGGACACAAACUGAAGUACUGCAAAGAAUGUGGGAGAAGUUUCCCCACACCAAGUGAAUUAAAACACCAUGAACUCUUCCACAGUGGGGUUAAAAAGCACCUCUGUGACCAGUGUGGGUCAUCCUUCAUCACUGUAGGUCAGCUUAAAGUGCAUAAACGAGUCCACACAGGAGAGAAACCAUACAAGUGCAGACACUGUGACAAAAGCUUCUCACGAUCAGGUAAUCGUAACCAUCAUGAAAGUAGACACACUGAAGGGAACUACAGCUGUGACCAGUGUGACAAGAGCUUCAGGAAUCUCACUUCAUACUCCAAACACAAACGAUACCACGCUGCAAAGAAACUGUUUCACUGUUACCA